rnacentral:rRNA from 1 species
GAUGAACGCUGGCGGCGUGCUUAACACAUGCAAGUCGAACGAUGAAGCUCAGCUUGCUGGGUGGAUUAGUGGCGAACGGGUGAGUAACACGUGAGUAACCUGCCCUUAACUCUGGGAUAAGCCUGGGAAACUAGGUCUAAUACCGGAUAGGAGCGCCUACCGCAUGGUGGGUGUUGGAAAGAUUUAUCGGUUUUGGAUGGACUCGCGGCCUAUCAGCUUGUUGGUGAGGUAAUGGCUCACCAAGGCGACGACGGGUAGCCGGCCUGAGAGGGUGACCGGCCACACUGGGACUGAGACACGGCCCAGACUCCUACGGGAGGCAGCAGUGGGGAAUAUUGCACAAUGGGCGAAAGCCUGAUGCAGCGACGCCGCGUGAGGGAUGACGGCCUUCGGGUUGUAAACCCCUUUCAGUAGGGAAGAAGCGAAAGUGACGGUACCUGCAGAAGAAGCACCGGCUAACUACGUGCCAGCAGCCGCGGUAAUACGUAGGGUGCGAGCGUUAUCCGGAAUAUUGGGCGUNAAGAGCUCGUAGGCGGUUUGUCGCGUCUGUCGUGAAAGUCCGGGGCUUAACCCCGGAUCUGCGGUGGGUACGGGCAGACUAGAGUGCAGUAGGGGAAACUGGAAUUCCUGGUGUAGCGGUGGAAUGCGCAGAUAUCAGGAGGAACACCGAUGGCGAAGGCAGGUCUCUGGGCUGUAACUGACGCUGAGGAGCGAAAGCAUGGGGAGCGAACAGGAUUAGAUACCCUGGUAGUCCAUGCCGUAAACGUUGGGCACUAGGUGUGGGGACCAUUCCACGGUUUCCGCGCCGCAGCUAACGCAUUAAGUGCCCCGCCUGGGGAGUACGGCCGCAAGGCUAAAACUCAAAGGAAUUGACGGGGGCCCGCACAAGCGGCGGAGCAUGCGGAUUAAUUCGAUGCAACGCGAAGAACCUUACCAAGGCUUGACAUGUUCUCGAUCGCCGUAGAGAUACGGUUUCCCCUUUGGGGCGGGUUCACAGGUGGUGCAUGGUUGUCGUCAGCUCGUGUCGUGAGAUGUUGGGUUAAGUCCCGCAACGAGCGCAACCCUCGUUCCAUGUUGCCAGCACGUAAUGGUGGGGACUCAUGGGAGACUGCCGGGGUCAACUCGGAGGAAGGUGAGGACGACGUCAAAUCAUCAUGCCCCUUAUGUCUUGGGCUUCACGCAUGCUACAAUGGCCGGUACAAUGGGUUGCGAUACUGUGAGGUGGAGCUAAUCCCAAAAAGCCGGUCUCAGUUCGGAUUGGGGUCUGCAACUCGACCCCAUGAAGUCGGAGUCGCUAGUAAUCGCAGAUCAGCAACGCUGCGGUGAAUACGUUCCCGGGCCU